rnacentral:rRNA from 1 species
GAUGAACGCUGACGGAAUGCUUAACACAUCAGCGAUGGAUUGGUGGCGGACGGGUGAGUAAGGCGUAUAGAAGUUACCUCGCAGGUAGGGACGAGAUUUGGAAACGAAUGCUAAUACAUAAUCCUGUGAGAGAGCUUUGCGUCCGGUUAGCUAGUUGGGGAGGUAACGGCGCACCAAGGCGCGGAUGGGUAGCCGGCCUGAGAGGGUGAUCGGCCCCAAGGUGCCUGGGACACCGCCCUUAGUCCUACUGGCGGCAGCAGCGGGGAAUAGUGGAAGAUGGACCAAAGUCUGAUGCAGCAAUUCUGUGUGCAAGAUGCAGUUGUCGGAAUGAAAAGGGCUUUCAGUUGAGAAGCGGUACCAACAGAAGAAGUGACGGCUAACUACGUGCCAGCAGCCGCGGUAAUUC